rnacentral:rRNA from 1 species
AACAUGUCUGUGUGUAUAAGUUAUAAAGUCUAGCCUGCCCACUGAUUGAUUUAAAGGGCCGCGGUAAUUUGACCGUGCGAAGGUAGCAUAGUCAGUAGUCUUUUAAUUGAAGGCUUGAAUGAAAGGUUGGACGAGGGAUGAGCUGUCUCCUUUACGUGAUUUGAAUUUAACUUUUGAGUGAAAAGGCUCAAAUUAUUUAGUGGGACGAUAAGACCCUAUAAAACUUUAUAUAAGUUUAAUUUGGCUUACAAUUUGAGUGAAAAGUAGCUCUAUUAAGCUUAUGUUUCGUUGGGGAGAUGUAGAUAUAANGNGUAACUGUCUGU